rnacentral:rRNA from 1 species
CCCUUAGAUGUCCUGGGCCGCACGCGCGUUACACUGAUGCAUUCAACGAGCUUAUAACCUUGGCCGAGAGGCCUGGGCAAUCUUGUUAACGUGCAUCGUGAUAGGGAUAGAUUAUUGAAAUUAUUAAUCUUGAACGAGGAAUUCCUAGUAAACGCAGAUCAUCAAUCUGCAUUGAUUACGUCCCUGCCCUUUGUACACACCGCCCGUCGCACCUACCGAUUGGAUGGUCCGGUGAAGCCUCGGGAUUGUGGUUCUUGCCGCUUUAUUGUGGCGUGACCGCGAGAACUUGUCUAAACCUUAUCAUCUAGAGGAAGGUGAAGUCGUAACAA